rnacentral:rRNA from 1 species
UCGGGAAUAUUGCGCAAUGGAGGAAACUCUGACGCAGUGACGCCGCGUAUAGGAAGAAGGUCUUCGGAUUGUAAACUAUUGUCGUUAGGGAAGAGAAAGGACAGUACCUAAGGAGGAAGCUCCGGCUAACUACGUGCCAGCAGCCGCGGUAAUACGUAGGGAGCGAGCGUUAUCCGGAUUUAUUGGGUGUAAAGGGUGCGUAGACGGGAAAAUAAGUUAGUUGUGAAAUCCCUCGGCUCAACUGAGGAACUGCAACUAAAACUAUUUUUCUUGAGUGCAGGAGAGGAAAGUGGAAUUCCUAGUGUAGCGGUGAAAUGCGUAGAUAUUAGGAGGAACACCAGUGGCGAAGGCGACUUUCUGGACUGUAACUGACGUUGAGGCACGAAAGUGUGGGGAGCAAACAGG